rnacentral:rRNA from 1 species
GAUGAACGCUGGCGGCGUGCCUAAUACAUGCAAGUCGAGCGAACAGACGAGGAGCUUGCUCCUCUGACGUUAGCGGCGGACGGGUGAGUAACACGUGGAUAACCUACCUAUAAGACUGGGAUAACUUCGGGAAACCGGAGCUAAUACCGGAUAAUAUAUUGAACCGCAUGGUUCAAUAGUGAAAGACGGUUUUGCUGUCACUUAUAGAUGGAUCCGCGCCGCAUUAGCUAGUUGGUAAGGUAACGGCUUACCAAGGCGACGAUGCGUAGCCGACCUGAGAGGGUGAUCGGCAACACUGGAACUGAGACACGGUCCAGACUCCUACGGGAGGCAGCAGUAGGGAAUCUUCCGCAAUGGGCGAAAGCAUGACGGAGCAACGCCGCGUGAGUGAUGAAGGUCUUCGGAUCGUAAAACUCUGUUAUUAGGGAAGAACAAAUGUGUAAGUAACUAUGCACGUCUUGACGGUACCUAAUCAGAAAGCCACGGCUAACUACGUG